rnacentral:rRNA from 1 species
GACGAACGCUGGCGGCGUGCUUAACACAUGCAAGUCGAACGAUGAACCCGGAGCUUGCUCCGGUGGAUUAGUGGCGAACGGGUGAGUAACACGUGAGUAACCUGCCCUUGACUCUGGGAUAACUGCGGGAAACUGUAGCUAAUACCGGAUACGACCCUCGGCGGCAUCGCCAGGGGGCGGAGAGAAUUUCGGUCAAGGAUGGACUCGCGGCCUAUCAGCGAGUUGGUGAGGCAACGGCUCACCAAGGCGACGACGGGUAGCCGGCCUGAGAGGGUGACCGGCCACACUGGUACUGAGACACGGCGCAGACUGAGACGGGAGGCAGCAGUGGGGAAUAUUGGACAAUGGGCGCAAGCCUGAUGCAGCAACGCCGCGUGGGGGAUGACGGCCUUCGGGUUGUAAACCUCUUUUAGUAGGGAAGAAGCGAAAGUGACGGUACCUGCAGAAAGCCACGGCUAACUACGUGCCAGCCGCCGCCGUAA